AGGUUUUUGAAAAAACAAAUGGGGCAAGAGAGGCCAGGACCACGCCUGACUCAGGCGAUCGGACGGGCAGGGAGGCUGCAAGGCAUGGCAUGAGCAGGUGGAGCUGUCAGGACUGCCCCAGCCCCUGGCUCAAAGAUGCCCGACCCCAGGACCCUGCCUCGCUGGAUGGUGAAGGCCAACUUCCCCUCUGUUGGAGCUGGCCUGGGCGUUGUGGGAAGGGCUGGGAGGAGGCCCAGGACAAUGCAGAACAGACAGGACGUUUCACAGAGCAGGCUGCCAUGUCCCUCGGGGCCUUGGGGGCUGCUGAGGCCCUGAGAAAGGUCACUGGAGGCCUGGCCGGAAGUGCAGGGUUAUCUCAGUACUUGAUUUAAGGCUCCUGCAGCUGAAAAGCUGCCCCACACGGCGGACCGGGUGGAGGAAGUCAGCUGUGCUGCUUAACCGUGGAGUCUCCGUCCCGGUCCUGCUCACCAGCUCUGCAAAGGCCUUGUCCUCCCUGCCUGAUUCUCGGCACCAUUUUUAACACGGUGGGAUGUCUUGGAUUUUUAUGAUAAUAAUUUCAGUAUAUGUUCAACCCAUGGAAACAUUUCAUUUGGAAAGAUGUGAAGUGGGUUAGAAAAUGUCAUUUCCAUGCUUUUUAGAGUCGUGACUGUGGAUGACUUUAUAGGAGACCCAGUUGUCUGAAACAUUUCACACGGCAAUGAAACUAUUUCCAAAUAUUCAUUUUCAAAAUGUG
rnacentral:lncRNA from 1 species